UGCUGAGUUCCCCCCUCUUUCCCUACAGUAGAGUGGGAAAAACGAGAGGAGCGUGGGUCUCUUGUGCUUUGGAAGCCGCCUGGGUUACUCCCAAGUCCACAAACAAGGGCUGCUGAGUGGCAUAUGGCUGAGGCCCACACUGAACAGCUGGCUGGUUGGUGGUGCCCAGAAGAUGCCCGACAGCCAGCUCCUUUGGCUGACGUAAUUUCAAGCAGGGGAGACAGUCCUGCAAGUUAAACAGCGGCUGCUAAAGGAUAAGGAGGUGAGGAUCAAGAAAGUACUAAAGAAGCUUGCCACAAAAACGGUGUCUGCUACACGGAUAGCGGCAGUGCUGUGAGCUUGUGGGGUUUCACCAACUCUGGUGAGGACUCGGGCAUGGGAUGGCUGCCCAGGGUGUGGGUGUGCGGGUGUGUGUAGUGGGGGAAUACAGACUGAAGGGGUACCACAGACUGAUGGAACAUGAAGAGACUGUGGCAAGGUCGCUCAGGGGUCAGGAUGGGUAAUGGUGCACCCUGACGCUUACUUGGGCAGUGGUGGUCAGGGCUAGGACUCUCUACUUCCUGAAGUGCCCCUGGGAACAAUCCCCCACAGGGCAUCUCACUCCUGCUCUCCUGUCUGCCCACCUGUUGGGAGGUCUGUGUGCUGCAUUUAUGCUGAGCAAACCUCAGUGGAGCAUUCAAACUCAAAGGCCCUUGGUGCUGAGCCUGGAACCUUGCAGGCUGCGGGAGUUGAUGUCACCAUGGACCGGACCAACCUUCCCCGGGCCAGUGAUUGCCACAUGCUCAUCACCUGCUGAAAGACGCCGCCCGCCCCCCCACCCCCACCCCAGGAGCCGGCAGACAUAGCAGAUUACAUGGUGUACUGCUCACCACAAUGUCAUCAGCUCUAAACUACCAGCUGCUCCGAGGGAGGACCAUGAAUGGCAGUCUCUCCAGUAAAGACUGACAGUCUCAGAACCCAUUGGGGGCACUUCUAUCUGACCUGUCAGGUCAACAGAAGGCUGCUCACCACAGGGGCAGUUUCAACCACAAAAGCCAAAACCUUUGUAACGUGCUGUCUCCUGUGCCCUCCAGGUUCAGUGUCAACAGCCCACCACACCACCAGAGACGGGGCUAGCUUACCACAUUAAGCCUUGUCCUCUGACAUCAACCCCAUGUGGUUUGCCUUCUCCCGAGCCCAACUGGGGAUGCAGCACCAGCCUCUGACCUUUGGCUUACAAGUCACCUCUUUCACUGCCACCCUGGUAGAUGUGGCCUGUGCAGUGAGAGUGGCCCCUCAUGGGCCAGCUGUGAAGUGGGUGAGGGGGUACGUUAGAGGUUCCUAUAGGAACACCCAGACGCCACCAAGGGCAGAGAGGUCAUGCACAGGGAACCCAGCUGGGACAGACCAGGCACCAAGGGUCCCACCUGGGGCAGGCUGUGUGUUCACUCUGAGAUUACAGGUGAUGCGUUCAGUCUGCAUUGAUGUCAGGUGGCAAGGCUGAUUGAGGUUUGAGUCUCCUCUUGGGAAGCCCCCUACAUCGGCCUUCAGGCUGCCAGCUGAUUUGCUUAGGCCCACUACUCAGCCCUUGAGUUCAGCCCUGCUGAGGAUGAGCACUGACUGUACAGGACACCUGCAGCCCCAACUCCCAGCCCUGGUGUAGCUGAAAGGGCACAAGUAGGUGACAUUCACAAACAGGGGCCUCACGGUUCACAUGGUGAGCUCAGGGGAGGCCCCCUCAGUUCUUGGCUCCUUGUAGAGCCCUGGUAGAGUCUGUCCUCCACCUCCCCUGCUUGGUGGCUUUCUGGCUCAGCUGCACUCUUAACCAGCAUAUUUGGAGAACAUAUCCUGUCUACAGGAUUCCUCCAGUGACUCCCAGUGCCUAACUCCUCUCUGACCAUGUCUGUCACCUCCACCCUCUAUCAUCUCUGUUCCCUCUGUCUCUGCCCUCUCUACUUCUCUCCUCACACAUCUGUCCACCCACCGCCCACAGCCAGCCCACUCCUCUCUAUCCCAUCCACCCUGCAUAUCCCUCACCAGCUGUCCCUGUUCCCUGGUGGCCUGUAGAGUGAUAUCGCACAAACUCGCCCUCUUUGGUGCUCUAGCUUUUGGUACAGGGCAGGGGUGGGCUGUCCUGUGCUGACCAUGCAGGCUUCCCCAGUCUGUGAGACAUCAGCCACCCUGAGAUGGCGCUGCAGAAGACGAGCAUCCUGUCUUGUGGUGGAUAGCCUAUGUCUGUCCACCCCACUGCUGGGGGCACUCCUGAGGGUGCACGUGGACCUGGUGUCACAACUAUGCCAGCAGAAAUGCCAUAGGGUGGGGGGCACAAAGGUGUAACCCUCCUGACCCCAAUCAAUUUGCCUUCUCAGGCCACCUAAGGGCUCGUCCCUCCACCCACAUUCCAGGCUGCCUUUCCAGCCACCCCACCUUCCCCUGGACGUCCACGGCCCUCCUGUCACACAGGCAACCAGCAGAAUUCUGCUGCCCUGGAGGCCGGCUGCGCAGUCAGGUUGAUGGAUGAAAAUCUGGGCCUGCGCGGUGUGGAGGACCAGCAAGCAUGAGCAAGCCUGUCCCGAGGACCCUGGGUCACCAGUGGGCUGCAGGGCUUGAGGUGGCCCCUGGAAGAUGUAGUCCUGAACGCGACCUAGCAGCGACUUUUCACCCUCCAGAUAUGGCUGGCCAGGGUGCAGCUGAAGUCAGGGAGGGAUUGGUUGGGGGCAGAGCUGAGUUGAUGGGGUAGCUGCAGUUAGGGGUAUAGCUGAGGU